rnacentral:piRNA from 1 species
UCAGGUAGUGUUCCCCGAGAUUUAAAA